rnacentral:rRNA from 1 species
GAUGAACGCUGGCGGCGUGCCUAAUACAUGCAAGUCGAGCGAACGGACGAGAAGCUUGCUUCUCUGAUGUUAGCGGCGGACGGGUGAGUAACACGUGGAUAACCUACCUAUAAGACUGGGAUAACUUCGGGAAACCGGAGCUAAUACUGGAUAAUAUUUUGAACCGCAUGGUUCAAAAGUGAAAGACGGUCUUGCUGUCACUUAUAGAUGGAUCCGCGCUGCAUUAGCUAGUUGGUAAGGUAACGGCUUACCAAGGCAACGAUGCAUAGCCGACCUGAGGGGGGGAAGGGCACCUCUGAGAGUGGACGGCGGCCCAGACUCCGAGGGGAGGCAGAGACGGGGACUCGUCCGAAAUGGGGGAAAGCUUGCGAGAGGAACGCCGGGUGGAUUAAGAGGGGCUUCGGAGGGUAAAACGUUUUUUUGGGGGAAAACCAUUUUUGUAAGUAACUGAGCACAUUUGACGGUAACUGAAGAAGAAACCCCGGCUAAACACGUU